UACGAAGGGGGCUAGCGUUGCUCGGAAUCACUGGGCGUAAAGCGCACGUAGGCGGCUUGUUAAGUCAGGGGUGAAAUCCUGGAGCUCAACUCCAGAACUGCCUUUGAUACUGGCGAGCUUGAGUCCGGGAGAGGUGAGUGGAAUUCCGAGUGUAGAGGUGAAAUUCGUAGAUAUUCGGAGGAACACCAGUGGCGAAGGCGGCUCACUGGUCCGGUACUGACGCUGAGGUGCGAAAGCGUGGGGAGCAAACAGG
rnacentral:rRNA from 1 species